UUAGUGGCGGACGGGUGAGUAACGCGUGGGUAACCUGCCGUAUACCGGGGGAUAACACCUGGAAACAGGUGCUAAUACCGCAUAAGCGCACGGGACCGCAUGGUCCAGUGUGAAAAACCGAGGUGGUAUGCGAUGGACCCGCGUCUGAUUAGCCAGUUGGCAGGGUAACGGCCUACCAAAGCGACGAUCAGCAGCCGGCCUGAGAGGGUGGACGGCCACAUUGGGACUGAGACACGGCCCAAACUCCUACGGAAGGCAGCAG
rnacentral:rRNA from 1 species